AGCCUUUUUUUUUUUUUUUUUUUGCUCUCUAAAUUUCUUAAGCCUGUGGCACCUUAUGCCUGUAACCUAUGUCUCUACGCCCACAAUGUGUGGCUAUGAAGAAUCACAUGCCUACCCAAGAUUGGUGUUUUGUCUUAGGCUUUUUAUAGACUUAAUGAUUUUUUUUUUUUUAAUCUUAGAUGAGUUAUACAAUAAAAGUAACUCUAUCGCCUUCUUAUAUAUAUAUAUGCACACAUGUGCAUAUAUAAUGUUUUAGUUAUAAUAGCAAUAUUGAAAAACAUGUAAGAAAUUAAACAGAGUAGAGAUAUGCACCUUAUAUGCUAAAGACAACAAAAAUAACAAAUGGAAACAAUAUAUAAAAAUGCCAUCCCUAUAUUAAGUUAAACAGCAUAAUUUGCUAAAUCUUAAUCCAAUAAUUACUGUCAGAACUGCAAAUGAUGCUUGAGAUGAUUUGCAUCAUUAAAAAAGUACUUCAACUAGUUAGCCCUAAUUAACUAGCUAUUUCAAGAAUCUCAUUCCCUAAUUAAAAAGGCCAAGAAAUUACUAAAAGAGGAAGAAACAUCGACCCUCAAAGGUAUCUAAUCAACCUCAACAUUAAUGACAAAAAAUCCCUUAAACUUAGCACUAACUAUUGUGAUUUUGUUAAAAUAGUGGUUGUCCACAGCCUAGUGGAAGAUCUUUGUGGAAAUCUUAAAUAAGUACCUCCCAAACAUUGGUGUUUAUAUCAUUGAAGGAGAGCAUGCUCCUAGAUGCACCAACAACAAUGAAUCCCAAUGUCCUAAGAUUACAAAACAGAUGUAAAAAGCACCAAGCCCCAUGACACAAAGCUCUAUGACUAGGAGUAGGUCCCUUGAUAGGCCCAUGCUACUGAACACUCAGUAGCUCGUUUUGAUUUAUUAAUCCAAGUACCACCACCGUCAACAUAGACAAGUUCUUAACCUGAUGAGCUAAGUCGUUGUAAACAUUAGUAUUGGCAGUGAAUGCAUAUGCAGUGAUAUAAAUAUUAAAUCUUCAAAAAUUCACGUAUAUAAUUGAAGCUUCUACUGAUUGUGAGAGAAAUUGAUGCGGUGUAGUACUUCGACAGCUAUCUAUACAGAGAAAACAAAAUUGACCCGUUUGAACAAGAAAAGGGAAGGGAAGAUAAGCUAUAUAAAUAUGUCUAAGAACAAGGAGAGUGUACAGUUAAUAGUCUGGCCUGCAGACUAGAAAAGAGAAACUACUGACAUGAAAGCUUACGGCCAUAGGUAGGGAUGAUUUUUAGCGUAAUGCAGGUCUUGAAACAGUACAAAUAAAAAUAAAAAAGGAGAGAGAAAAAAAAUGCACAGAUGCAAUCAAAACAGCCAUAACCCAUAAGCAAAAAGAAAUCAAAAAACAGAUACAUGCAGUAAAAGAGUGAAGCAAAGAAGAAAAAAGUAAUACCUUGAAUCAGUAGAGUACUCAAAGAGCUUCCCUUUG
rnacentral:misc_RNA from 1 species